rnacentral:rRNA from 1 species
GGGUGCUAAAACCUAAAGGCAAAACAAAAAUGAAAAAAGCUUUGCUCUAUUAGGGAGGAUGACUAUUUGGUAGUCCGCACUCCCGGGGCGUUUAUUACUCAUUGCGAGUAAAGACGCACCAAGAGCGUACACGUUGGGACCCGAAAGAUGGUGAACUAUGCCUGGCCAGGAUGAAGCCAGGGGAAACUCUGGUGGAGGUCCGCAGCGAUUCUGACGUGCAAAUCGAUCGUCUGAGCUAGGUAUAGGGGCGAUAGACUUAUCGAACUAUCUAGUAGCUGGUUCCCUCCGAAGUUUCCCUCAGGAUAGCUGGUGCCGAUGAUGAUAUGAGUCUCAUUCGGUAAAGCGAAUGAUUAGAGGCCUUGGGGUCGAAACGACCUCAACCUAUUCUCAAACUUUAAAUGAAUGAGAGCUUUGGCUUGCUUACAAA